GGGCCCGCACAAGCGGUGGAGUAUGUGGUUUAAUUCGAUGCAACGCGAAGAACCUUACCAGGGUUUGACAUCCUGCGAAUCUCUUGGAAACGAGAGAGUGCCUUCGGGAACGCAGUGACAGGUGGUGCAUGGCUGUCGUCAGCUCGUGUCGUGAGAUGUUGGGUUAAGUCCCGCAACGAGCGCAACCCACGUCUUUAGUUGCCAGCAUUUAGUUGGGCACUCUAGAGAGACCGCCGGUGAUAAACCGGAGGAAGGUGUGGAUGACGUCAAGUCAUCAUGCCCCUUACAUCCUGGGCUACACACGUACUACAAUGCUACGGACAAAGGGCAGCAAACUCGCGAGGACAAGCAAAUCUCAUAAACCGUGGCUCAGUUCAGAUCGUAGGCUGCAACUCGCCUACGUGAAGGAGGAAUCGCUAGUAAUCGCAGGU
rnacentral:rRNA from 1 species